CAACGUUAGUUUCAAUUUGACAGAACUUUACUGGCUUAAUGAACUGAUGCAUGCUGAAGCAUGCAUUUCUUUCACAUUUAGGUUAUAUGAUAAAAAGUUGUCGAAAGUGAAAAACAGAACUUGGCACAUACAGAGUAAAUGACGAUGCGAAUUUAGAAUACAGUGGAAGAACACGAUUGCAUCCCGGUAUGGUACCGGUAACGGUUCAGGGAAUAUACGACUAGAAGAAGAUCAGACACAUGAAAAGGCAAUGUUUUCAGACUACUGGCAAAAAUAAACAUCAAGCGUUUGCUCUUGAUUGAAGAGCUGCAUGGGAUUUGUCGCUGUCGAGGAGGCUAGUGUCGUCAGCAAACAAUUUGGUUGAGAGCGAAGAGCAGUGAACUAUGUCAUUGACAUAUACUAGGAAAAAUAAUGGGCCCAAUAUACUACCUUGUGGAACUCCGUGAGUCACUGAUUUGAAGAGGGGGAUUACUCGAGCAAUUUUGAGACACGAAGGAAAGAUUCCUAACGAGAGAGAACAAUUAAAAAGUUCAGCUAAACAUGGCGAAAUGAGGUCAGCAACAAGUUUAAGGAACCGUGCUGGAAUAUUGUCUGGACCUACUGCCUUCCUAUCUUUCAGAUUUUGUAUUUCUAUUAUCACUUCGUUUGAAUCAGUCAAACUCAUGAAAAUGGACUGGCUUACACGAUUGCGAAGAAAAUGUUUGAAGCUAGUCAUAUCAUUAGAAAACUUGUCUGAGAGACUGGACCCAACCGUUGAAAAGUACUUAUUGAAUUCGGUAGCGAUUGAAAUACCAUCUUUAGUGAUACAGCCAUUCUCUCGGAAGAUUUCAUCAACAUUUGAUUUGGAUUUAUUAUUUGUAUGUGUA